rnacentral:rRNA from 1 species
GACGAACGCUGGCGGCGUGCUUAACACAUGCAAGUCGAACGGAAAGGCCCUGCUUUUGUGGGGUGCUCGAGUGGCGAACGGGUGAGUAACACGUGAGUAACCUGCCCUUGACUUUGGGAUAACUUCAGGAAACUGGGGCUAAUACCGGAUAGGAGCUCCUGCUGCAUGGUGGGGGUUGGAAAGUUUCGGCGGUUGGGGAUGGACUCGCGGCUUAUCAGCUUGUUGGUGGGGUAGUGGCUUACCAAGGCUUUGACGGGUAGCCGGCCUGAGAGGGUGACCGGCCACAUUGGGACUGAGAUACGGCCCAGAAUACUACGGGAGGCAGCAGUGGGGAAUAUUGCACAAUGGGCGGAAGCCUGAUGCAGCAACGCCGCGUGCGGGAUGACGGCCUUCGGGUUGUAAACCGCUUUCGCCUGUGACGAAGCGUGAGUGACGGUAAUGGGUAAAGAAGCACCGGCUAACUACGUG